rnacentral:rRNA from 1 species
GGGGGGGAGGGCUGCUCCUGACCUAGCGGCGGACGGGUGAGUAAUGCUUAGGAAUCUGCCUAUUAGUGGGGGACAACAUUCCGAAAGGAAUGCUAAUACCGCAUACGCCCUACGGGGGAAAGCAGGGGAUCUUCGGACCUUGCGCUAAUAGAUGAGCCUAAGUCAGAUUAGCUAGUUGGUGGGGUAAAGGCCUACCAAGGCGACGAUCUGUAGCGGGUCUGAGAGGAUGAUCCGCCACACUGGGACUGAGACACGGCCCAGACUCCUACGGGAGGCAGCAGUGGGGAAUAUUGGACAAUGGGCGAAAGCCUGAUCCAGCCAUGCCGCGUGUGUGAAGAAGGCCUUUUGGUUGUAAAGCACUUUAAGCGAGGAGGAGGCUACUGGAAUUAAUACUCCAGGAUAGUGGACGUUACUCGCAGAAUAAGCACCGGCUAACUCUGUGCCAGCAGCCGCGGUAAUACAGAGGGUGCGAGCGUUAAUCGGAUUUACUGGGCGUAAAGCGUGCGUAGGCGGCUUUUUAAGUCGGAUGUGAAAUCCCUGAGCUUAACUUAGGAAUUGCAUUCGAUACUGGGAAGCUAGAGUAUGGGAGAGGAUGGUAGAAUUCCAGGUGUAGCGGUGAAAUGCGUAGAGAUCUGGAGGAAUACCGAUGGCGAAGGCAGCCAUCUGGCCUAAUACUGACGCUGAGGUACGAAAGCAUGGGGAGCAAACAGGAUUAGAUACCCUGGUAGUCCAUGCCGUAAACGAUGUCUACUAGCCGUUGGGGCCUUUGAGGCUUUAGUGGCGCAGCUAACGCGAUAAGUAGACCGCCUGGGGAGUACGGUCGCAAGACUAAAACUCAAAUGAAUUGACGGGGGCCCGCACAAGCGGUGGAGCAUGUGGUUUAAUUCGAUGCAACGCGAAGAACCUUACCUGGUCUUGACAUAGUAAGAACUUUCCAGAGAUGGAUUGGUGCCUUCGGGAACUUACAUACAGGUGCUGCAUGGCUGUCGUCAGCUCGUGUCGUGAGAUGUUGGGUUAAGUCCCGCAACGAGCGCAACCCUUUUCCUUAUUUGCCAGCGGGUUAAGCCGGGAACUUUAAGGAUACUGCCAGUGACAAACUGGGAGGAAGGCCGGGGACGACGUCAAGUCAUCAUGGGCCCUUACGACCAGGGCUACCCACGUGCUACAAUGGUUCGGUACAAAGGGUUGCUACCUAACCGAUAGGGAUGCUAAUCUUCAAAAGCCCGAUUGUAGUCCCGGAUUGGGAGUCUGGAACUCCGACUCCCUUGAAAUCC